CCUACGGGAGGCAGCAGUAAGGAAUAUUGGUCAAUGGACGCAAGUCUGAACCAGCCAUGCCGCGUGAAGGAUUAAGGUCCUCUGGAUUGUAAACUUCUUUUAUUUGGGACGAAAAAGGGUCUUUCUAGACCAACUGACGGUACCAGAUGAAUAAGCACCGGCUAACUCCGUGCCAGCAGCCGCGGUAAUACGGAGGGUGCAAGCGUUAUCCGGAUUCACUGGGUUUAAAGGGUGCGUAGGCGGGUAGGUAAGUCAGUGGUGAAGUCCUGGAGCUCAACUCCAGAACUGCCAUUGAUACUAUUUAUCUUGAAUAUUGUGGAGGUAAGCGGAAUAUGUCAUGUAGCGGUGAAAUGCUUAGAUAUGACAUAGAACACCUAUUGCGAAGGCAGCUUACUACGCAUAUAUUGACGCUGAGGCACGAAAGCGUGGGGAUCAAACAGGAUUAGAUACCCUGGUAGUCCACGCCCUAAACUAUGAUUACUCGACAUUUGUGAUACACAAUAAGUGUGUGAGAGAAGACGAUAAGUAAUACUAACCGUACGGUAAGUUAACGUUACGUCGAAGGAGUAGAACGACGAAGGAAGUUAGACGGACGUUGAGACGNGCGACGGACGACGACGAGGGAGGAGG
rnacentral:rRNA from 1 species